rnacentral:snoRNA from 1 species
UUGCAAUGAUGCUUUGAAUUUCUUGAACUGAAUCUGUUAUGUUGAUUAAAAACACGAGCUUUUUAACCCUGAGCUAA